rnacentral:rRNA from 1 species
AGUGAACGCUGGCGGUAGGCCUAACACAUGCAAGUCGAACGGCAGCACAGUAAGAGCUUGCUCUUACGGGUGGCGAGUGGCGGACGGGUGAGGAAUACAUCGGAAUCUACUUUUUCGUGGGGGAUAACGUAGGGAAACUUACGCUAAUACCGCAUACGACCUACGGGUGAAAGCAGUGGAUCUUCGGACCUUGCGCGAUUGAAUGAGCCGAUGUCGGAUUAGCUAGUUUGCGGGGUAAAGGCCCACCAAGGCGACGAUCCGUAGCUGGUCUGAGAGGAUGAUCAGCCACACUGGAACUGAGACACGGUCCAGACUCCUACGGGAGGCAGCAGUAGGGAAUAUUCGACAAUGGGCGAAAGCCUGAUCCAGCCAUACCGCGUGGGUGAAGAAGGCCUUCGGAUUGUAAAGCCCUUUUGUUGGGAAAGAAAAGCAGCAGGUUAAUACCCCGCUGUUCUGACGGUACCCAAAGAGUAAGCACCGGCUAACUACGUG